rnacentral:rRNA from 1 species
CCUACGGGAGGCAGCAGUGGGGAAUAUUGCACAAUGGGGGAAACCCUGAUGCAGCAACGCCGCGUGAGUGAAGAAGUAUUUCGGUAUGUAAAGCUCUAUCAGCAGGGAAGAAGAACGAAGGUCCCUGAGUAAGAAGCCCCGGCUAACUACGUGCCAGAAGCAGCGGUAAUACGUAGGGGGCAAGCGUUAUCCGGAUUUACUGGGUGUAAAGGGAGGGUCGACGGCUGGGUAAGUCUGAAGUGAAAGCCCGGGGCUCAACCGCGGAACUGCUUUGGAAACUGUAUAGCUUGAGUACAGGAGAGGCAGGCGGAAUUCCUAGGGGAGCGGUGAAAUGCGUAGAUAUUAGGAGGAACACCAGUGGCGAAGGCGGCCUGCUGGACAGAAACUGACGUUGAGGCUCGAAAGCGUGGGGAGCAAACAGGAUUAGAUACCCGGGUAGUC